rnacentral:rRNA from 1 species
UGGUAGAGAUUCCGUCCCCACCGAAAGAUUUAAGCGCAGGGACACUUUUAGAAGGUCGGAGCCAGGUGUUGGUUCUGGUAGAGAUCGAGGGAAGAUUAGUACCGAAGUCCGGCUGGAUAAGAGGCGAGAAAAGCUGCGUGUAUAUCUAAGGUGCCCGUACCGCAAACCGACACAGGUAGGUAGGAAGAAGAUUCUAAGGCCAACGGGAGAAGGGUUGUUAAGGAACUCGGCAAGUUGACCCCGUAACUUCGGAAUAAGGGGUGCUCAUGAAAGUGAGCCGCAGAGAAUAGGCCCAGGCAACUGUUUACCAAAAACACAGGUUUGUGCUAAAUCGAAAGAUGACGUAUACGAGCUGACGCCUGCCCGGUGCUGGAAGGUUAAAAGGAGAUGUGCAAGCAUUGAAUUGAAGCCCCAGUGAACGGCGGCCGUAACAAUAACGGUCCUAAGGUAGCGAAAUUCCUUGUCAGGUAAGUUCUGACCCGCAUGAAAGGCGUAAUGAUCUGGGCACUGUCUCAACAGCCCGCCCGGCGAAAUUGUAGUACCGGUGAAGAUGCCGGUUACCCGCGACAAGACGGAAAGACCCCAUGGAGCUUUACUGUAGCCUAAUAUUGGGUUUCGGUGUUGCAUGCACAGGAUAGAUGGGACGCUAGGAAGUGAGUGCUUUGGCAUUCAUGGAGCGGCCGUUGGGAUACCAUCCUUGCGACAUUGGAAUUCUAACCUGCGCCUUUGAAUCAAGGCGGGGGACAUUGUUAGGUGGGCAGUUUGACUGGGGCGGUCGCCUCCUAAAGAGUAGCGGAGGCGUUCAAAGGUUGGCUCGUCCUGGACGGAAACCAGGAGAGAGAGUGCAAACGCAAAAGCCAGCCUGACUGCGAGACUGACGGGUCGAGCAGAGACGAAAGUCGGAGUUAGUGAUCCGGUGGUAUGUGAGUGGAAAUGCCAUCGCUCAACGGAUAAAAGUUACCCUGGGAUAACAGGCUGAUCUCCCCCAAGAGUCCACAUCGACGGGGAGGUUUGGCACCUCGAUGUCGGCUCAUCGCAUCCUGGGGCUGUAUUCGGUCCUAAGGGUUUGGCUGUUCGCCAAUUAAAGCGGUACGCGAGCUGGGUUCAGAAUGUCGUGAGACAGUUCGGUCCCUAUCUGUCGUGGGCGCAGGAUAUUUGAAAGGCGCUGUCCCUAGUACGAGAGGACCGGGAUGGACGAACCUCUGGUGCACCAGUUGUCACGCCAGUGGCACAGCUGGGCAGCUAUGUUCGGAUCGGAUAAACGCUGAAAGCAUCUAAGCGUGAAGCCGGCCUUAAGAUAAGAUAUCCCACUGAGAUAAUCAGGUAAGACCCCUUGAAGACUACAAGGUUGAUAGGCACAAUGUGUAAGUGGCGCGAGUCAUUGAGCAAGCGUGUACUAAUAGGUCGAGGGCUUGACC